CCUACGGGAAGCUGCAGUGGGGAAUAUUGGGCAAUGGGCGCAAGCCUGACCCAGCAACGUCGCGUGAAGGACGAAGGCUUUCGGGUUGUUAACUUCCUUUAAGAGGGAAGAGCAGAAGACGGUACCUCUUGAAUAAGCCACGGCUAACUACGUGCCAGCAGCCGCGGUAAUACGUAGGUGGGAAGCGUUGUCCGGAUUUACUGGGUGUAAAGGGCGUGUAGCCGGGCUGACAAGUCAGAUGUGAAAUCCCGUGGCUCAACCACGGAACUGCAUUUGAAACUGUCGGUCUUGAGUAUCGGAGAGGCAGGCGGAAUUCCUAGUGUAGCGGUGAAAUGCGUAGAUAUUAGGAGGAACACCAGUGGCGAAGGCGGCCUGCUGGACGACAACUGACGGUGAGGCGCGAAAGCGUGGGGAGCAAACAGGAUUAGAUACCCGGGUAGUC
rnacentral:rRNA from 1 species